CCUACGGGGGGCAGCAGUGGGGAAUAUUGGACAAUGGGGGCAACCCUGAUCCAGCCAUGCCGCGUGUGUGAAGAAGGCCCUCGGGUUGUAAAGCACUUUCAGUGAGGAAGAACGCCUGGUGGUUAAUACCCAUCAGGAAAGAUAUCACUCACAGAAGAAGCACCGGCUAACUCCGUGCCAGCAGCCGCGGUAAUACGGAGGGUGCGAGCGUUAAUCGGAAUUACUGGGCGUAAAGCGCGCGUAGGUGGCUUGAUAAGCCGGUUGUGAAAGCCCCGGGCUCAACCUGGGAACGGCAUCCGGAACUGUCAAGCUAGAGUGCAGGAGAGGAAGGUAGAAUUCCCGGUGUAGCGGUGAAAUGCGUAGAGAUCGGGAGGAAUACCAGUGGCGAAGGCGGCCUUCUGGACUGACACUGACACUGAGGUGCGAAAGCGUGGGUAGCAAACAGGAUUAGAUACCCGGGUAGUC
rnacentral:rRNA from 1 species